rnacentral:rRNA from 1 species
GAUCCUGGCUCAGGAUGAACGCUAGCGACAGGCCUAACACAUGCAAGUCGAGGGGCGAGCGAAGAGGUAGCAAUACCUUUGUCGGCGACCGGCGCACGGGUGAGUAACACGUAUGCAAUCCACCUGUAACAGGGGGAUAACCCGGGAGAAAUCCGGACUAAUACCCCAUAAUAUGGGCGCUCCGCAUGGAGAGCCCAUUAAAGAGAGCAAUUUUGGUUACAGACGAGCAUGCGCUCCAUUAG